rnacentral:rRNA from 1 species
UAGGAAUUGGCGGGGGAGCACAACAACGGGUGGAGCCUGCGGUUUAAUUGGACUCAACGCCGGACAACUCACCGGGGGCGACAGCAAUAUGUAGGCCAAGCUGAAGACUUUGCCUGAAUCGCUGAGAGGAGGUGCAUGGCCGUCGCCAGUUCGUACUGUGAAGCAUCCUGUUAAGUCAGGCAACGAGCGAGACCCGUGCCCACUGUUACCAGCAUAUCCUCCGGGAUGAUGGGUACACUGCGGGGACCGCCGCUGCUAAAGCGGAGGAAGGCGCGGGCUACGGUAGGUCAGUAUGCCCCGAAUCAUCCGGGCUACACGCGGGCUACAAUGGUUGGGACAAUGGGCACCUACACCGAGAGGUGAUGGUAAUCUCCUAAACCCAGCCUUAGUUCGGAUUGAGGGCUGCAACUCGCCCUCAUGAAGCCGGAAUCCGUAGUAAUCGCGUAUCAAUAUCACGCGGUGAAUACGUCCCUGCUCCUUGCACACACCGCCCGUCAAACCAUGCGAGUGAGGUCUGAAUGAGGGCACGCUUUUUGGCGUGUUCGAAUUUGGGCUUCGCGAGUGGGGUUAAGUCGUAACAAGGUAACCUCAGUCAGUCA